UACGUAGGGGGCAAGCGUUAUUCGGAUUUACUGGGUGUAAAGGGAGCGUAGGCGGCGGAGCAAGUCAGAAGUGAAAGCCCGGGGCUCAACCCCGGGACGGCUUUUGAAACUGCCCUGCUUGAUUUCAGGAGAGGUAAGCGGAAUUCCUAGUGUAGCGGUGAAAUGCGUAGAUAUUAGGAGGAACACCAGUGGCGAAGGCGGCUUACUGGACUGACAAUGACGCUGAGGCUCGAAAGCGUGGGGAGCAAACAGG
rnacentral:rRNA from 1 species